CGGGAGGCGGGCUCUGACCCGGGAGCACCUGCCUCCAGGCCGCGCCUUCCGCUCCAGGCCAAUCAGCCUGCGCAGGCCGCACCUGCUCCUAGGCGACAACCACUUCGGCUCUGUGGCUGGACCUCCCGGGCAGCUAAAGUCUGAGUGCCUCUCAUGAUGACUGCUGAGACUUUGGACUGGAGACUUUCCAUAUGAGGUCAUGCAUUUGCUACCUUGCAAUUCGGACAUUAACUGAAACCCCCUCACCCUGUAACUAAAGGACAUAAAAUAAUCUGGAAACUUGCUAACAUCUGGGGAACACUCUACAGGGUGUAAUAGUGCCAGGGCACUCCCACAAAAAAAUAGAAAUGGAUUCCUUAGGAUCGUGCUACCUGGAGAAUGCAAGAAGAGGACCUCCUAGCAGGGAGCCUCUUCCUCUAAGACUAACUCCAGAUCUGCUGAGGAGCUGCUGAACUCCACAGUGCACUGUAAACCCCUUAGGGGAGAGAGGGUCUCAUUAGCAGAAAGCUUAGUCAUUGAAGCUAGGUUGAGGGGUAUUUCAGUUUGGGGAGCCAGUACAAAAGGCGCAAGGGAAACAGUAGUCCUGGAAACACAGGGGGCUGGUCUAACACCCACUUCUCUAUCUCAUUCCCUGUAUUGUGUGACAUGAGCACACAGUAAUGAGUGGCCACACACUGGGCUACGAAACAUAAAGAAAUCACCACUGGGAAUAAAGGGGGUGACAAGACUUCUGCCCUAUCCCCAGAUUGCUUCUCACCCUUACCUGGCUCUUGAGGUGAAGGAAAACCUUAUCUGACUGGUCUAACUUCAGGAUUGUCCCAUUCACUAACUGAGAGUUGAAGUACCUGGGUUCUAUAACCAGCUCUACCCCUCCGAGGCUGUGUUCCCACCCUGACAUCAGGUCCUCAGUUUCCCUAUCUGUAUAUUAAAAGUACUGGUCCAGAAUCAUUUAUUCCCAAAUAAAUGUGAGUAAAUGGCCUUUGCAAACUUUUUUAUUUUAUUUUUUUUAGAAAUUCACAGUCUUAACGAGGCAAGUUUUACUCUGUGGGAAGUCAAGGAGCUCAAAAUACCAGAUCUCUUUACCCAGAAUUACUCAGGCCGUAACACUGGAUCUUUAUGUAAUCAAGGCACAUGUGUGGGGGGCAGCCUGUGCCAUACUCAAGUCCCCCAGCUAUUACAGAGCAGAGGACAACCUGGAGGGGAAGGAUGAAAUGACUAAGGGCACUCACACCUUUAUGACUAGGUCACAAUGAGAUCACAAACACUGCUAACAGCCAUGAGGAGAUCCAGCAAAAGUGGGUAAGGGAGAUACCAGAUCUGCCCGGGCUAAGGGAAGACCUUUCCAAGGAAGGAUGCUGGACCUGGGGUUAGAGAAAUGAGUUGGAGCCACCAAGUGAAGGCUGGACAAGAAGAAUCCACAUUUCCCAGGUGCUGGCCAGGGGGUCCUCAGGCAAUGGCAUCCCAUACAGUGAUUAUACCUGAAUAGACUGACAUGUGUGGCUGUGAGUGCUCACAACCAGGACCAUGCACCAGAAUCAUGAGCUCUGGAAUGCGCUGGGUUAGAUGAAGGGAUACUUUCAAAAGUCACAGCAGCCAGACUUGCUCCUGACUUUGGAUCCUCUGCAGAAAGUCCAGCACCACCUGUUCACCUCCAUCCUUCAUUGAUGAAAAUGCCUAGGCCUGGUGUACUGGGCACACAGUCACAUGGACUUCUCCUCUUGCUCCCACCCAUAGCUGUUGGACUUCGCACCUGGCCAGCCUCCUACACCAUGCUGUCAGCAGGUGGCUGGGUGACCCAAGGAUUAGAAUGGAAGGGGAUGGUCCUCAUCUUGGCUAAAAAGUAUGCUACAAAGAGGGGGACUGGGCCUGGUGGAGGUUCUCUCCAGACUGGGGAGGCUGCAGCAGGCACAGAGGUUGCUCUGUAAACACUCUCCUGGACUCCUGCUCCAACUCUGCUAAGAAGGUUAAGAAGGGGCAGACAAGGAGCUAAUACUCUUCCUCUCUGGGUGGGAUGCUUUGGGGUAGGUGGAAGAAAUCUCAUUGCUGGUAGAGCCCCUCCUCCCGCCCCCGACAUUUUGCUCUACUCUCUCCUGGCCCAUCCAUAACCAGGGACAUCCCAUGAUGUCACGAAGUGUAGUUUUCUCCUGGAUGUUUUCAGGAGAUCUUACAGCCUGACUGUUUUGUCAGCUGGCAUUUCAUAUUUUACCCAAAACAUACUCCCAUAGCUUCCAAAUGCCCUCCUAUGAAGAGAAGGGUCCCAGAUCCUAUUGUGUACAAAGUAACCCCCAGGUUCCACAUGUCUCUAGAAGAGUGAUUAUACAACUAGUCCAGGUAUAUUUCUGGGUAGUAUAAUGGGGGGGGACAUAGGGGUGUCCUACAGAGAGAUGAGAAUUUCUGGCCUACAAGAAACAUGCUACUGACAGUUGCAUGUAAAAAUCAAUGACUUUAACUGCAGCAUCUUCACCCACUAGGAUGUUAUCUCGCUCGAUAUCUCUAUGUGCCACUCCCUUGCUGUGGCAGUACCCUACCACAGUUGUGUUCUACUGGAACGUGUUCCCAUCAUCAUCAUCAUCAUCCACACAGCCAUGCAGUGUGAGGUGGUCCAAGCGAUCCCCCAUGCUGCUCUGCUCCAUGAUGAGAUAGAGCACUUCUAGCUUAUUAACCACUUACUUCCAGGCCUUGGAUGAUAUUUUGGUACUACAGUGCCAUCAUUAUGUCAGCCUCUAAAGAGUGACUGGAGGAGCUGUGUGGACCUCCUUUCUGGAUGACUUUAACAGCCAUGGCAGAUGUGUGAAUUCUGGUUGGAAUAUACCAGGCUAGCUUGACUGGCGAAGCUACUCGUACUGGCAGUUUUGAGUUUUGAGGAGACUGUACUGAUGACUACAAGUCUCCUCAUUGACAGGUGACUUUGAAGCUCUGCUCCAUGGUGACCAGGUCCUACCUAUUCUAACUAGCAACACUAUAAACUAGAAAUGCUAGCUAGUACUACUGACUAUACCAAGUUCAGUGCCAAUAGUAAUGAACAAUACCAAUAGCAGUAACUAAUAAACAAUAUUAACUAUACUAAUAAUACCACCUAAAGAUACUAAUUAAAAUACUAACUCAAACAGAAAAAAUAUUAGCUAUGUGAACUUACAAAAAUACAAAAUGGAAAGAACAGGAUACAUAAAAAAUUGGAAAUUGGAAAAUAAAAAGGCUGGUGGAUGGCCACAUGUUUGUGGGAGGACUCAGAUGUGUCAGCCAUGAAAGCCUGAGGUACACUUGCAUUUGGAUUCACUUUUCUAAUCUUCUGAGAGAAAGCUGUUGACACACUAGUUGGAAUGAUUCCAUUAGCCUAACCCACAAAAUGCUUCUGGUUCAAAGAAUUUGCUUAUAUAUACGUGGGCAAGAUGGUUACUAGAUGAGCCUAAUGUGAUUUCCUCCCACAAAUAAAAGAUGAAAAAAGAGGAAAAGCAGCUGAUAUUCAUCUGUGGUGUUUAAGGGAGAGUGUCAGAGUGCAGUAUGGAUGUGGCAGAGAUGUUUCAGAGCAUGACACCUCAGGAUGGCCUUGUAGACAGGGAGCACAGUGCUCUGCAUUUUCUGCUCCAUCUCCCCAGGUAAGAUUGUCUAGGA